UUGGCGCAUUUAGCAUCUCCCAAAAUCAUAUUCACUCUUUGAAUGCGAAAGCUCAUAAACAUGCCCCAGAAUCAAACCUCUGAGUUACUCGCGUUCCAGCCGUAUCUUAUUAUUUAGAUAACUGCGGUAGUUCUAGAAUGAAUACAUACAACGGAGCUCUGACCUUCGCGUACGAGAGCUACUGUUAUACCAAAACCAGUCGGACCUAGUUUCCUUAGUAUGCGGCGAUUCUGAAUAAUUUUGGGCUGAUAGCACGGAAUCGUCCCCGGGAGUCGUAUCUUUCAUGUGUCUGCCUUAUAAACUGUCGAUAGCAGGUUAUAGUUGUCACGGGGUGAACGGAAUCAGAGUUCGAUUAAGGAAUGGGAGUCUGAGAAAUGGCUACCGCAUCGAAAGAAGGCAACUGGCGGGCAAAUUAUUCAUUCCUAGAAUAGAAAGAUAGUGGCGAA
rnacentral:ncRNA from 1 species